rnacentral:rRNA from 1 species
GACGAACGCUGGCGGCGUGCUUAACACAUGCAAGUCGAACGGAAAGGCCCUGCUUUUGUGGGGUGCUCGAGUGGCGAACGGGUGAGUAACACGUGAGUAACCUGCCCUUGACUUUGGGAUAACUUCAGGAAACUGGGGCUAAUACCGGAUAGGAGCUCCUGCUGCAUGGUGGGGGUUGGAAAGUUUCGGCGGUUGGGGAUGGACUCGCGGCUUAUCAGCUUGUUGGUGGGGUAGUGGCUUACCAAGGCUUUGACGGGUAGCCGGCCUGAGAGGGUGACCGGCCACAUUGGGACAAUGAUACGGCAAAAAGUCCUACGGGAGGCAGCAGUGGAGAAUAUUGCACGAUAGGCGGAAGCCUGAUGCAGCAACGCCGCGUGCGGGAUGACGGCCUUCGGGUUGUAAACCGAUUUGGCCUGUGACGAAGCGUGAGUGAAGGUAAUGGGUAAAGAAGCACCGGCUAACUACGUG